GCUCGGAACAACUGAGCCUACGCUUGGCUCCUGCGUUCACCAUCUCCAUGCAGAGUGAAGGGAAUUGUUCCACUGGUGAGAGAGGGCCAGGACUAGGAAAGAGCAGAAAAAGGGCCAUCCUUGGAGUGUGGCAGGAACGACUCUUGGAGUUGGGAAUUCGUGUAAAAAGCGAGCAAGUCUCCAAUCCCUACUAUGUAACUCUCCAACCAAGCCUCUCCAUCUCAGUGCCUUCCAGAAUCUUUUCAGCACUUUUCCACAGAUAACCCCAUCCCACCCCCUAACCCAACCCUCCAGGCUCUCUUUCCAUAGGCCUUUGUCCCUUGUACCCUCUCCCUCCUUUUCCACACUCUCCCCAUGCACCUCCCUCCAGGUCCUGUCCUGGGUGAGAAUGCUAUUUAGUACCCAGUGCCACCCCGGCUCCUCCUUCACGACUUUUAAGUAGGCCGGGGGAAGAAAGAGGCACUUCAGUGUCCUGACCUGAUUCCGUGCUGUCUAUUAAGUCUCCUAAAUUGUGGAUAUUUUUACUCUUGUCCUGAAAGGGGAAAAAGAUGAUUUAUCACUUGAGUCUAUUAUAAGGUAGUGACAGGUGGGGAGGGGAGUAGAGGGCAGAGAAAGAGGGAGUGUAGAAAGAACACCUUCUCUGUCUUUGGGCUUCUGCCUCAGAACUUAAAAUAGAACUUGUUACCCCCAUCUUCCCGGUGUUCUGGCAUGGAAAAAUAGCAUCUUGACUAGUUGUGGCUUCUGGGGGAGGGAGCUUUCCCAAAAUAUUUGUAGUAAAGGUCUUCCCAUCAUCAUCAUCAUUCCCCUACCCCUCCCUGUCUCCUUCUCUUAGCCUGCUGGCCUGGGUGGCCCAAGAGAGGAACUGGAGGACCAGGCCCCAUGAGAAUGAUAUUUCAAAGUGAGUAGAACCAGACUAGAGGUCUGCUUUGGCAAGGGAGAAGGUUACCUCCCUACUCUUUAUAGGCUGGGGGAGAUUCCUGUGCCUGCAGAAAGGUGAAAUAAACAAGACUUCCAAGGACA
rnacentral:lncRNA from 1 species